AACGUCAUAGCUUUGAAAGUGGACUGCUCUGUUCACCACCCUGCUCAGUCUCUGAGUGUCACUGAAACCUUCAGACAAAUAUUCCAUAAACAUCUGUGCAGGUUCCUGGUGUACAGGAACAUUGAACCUUAUUCAGAGGUAAAAGCCUGAACCAUGACUGACUCAUAAAGAGCAAACAAGUCAAGCACGGGCAUAAGUCCACAUUUUCUGAAAAUUUAAAGUUGAAAACCUCAAGUGUCAUCUAAGAAGCUGCUGCAAUAGGAACUGUCGACCCUUGUACACACAAUGUAUUUCGGAUGACCAACUUGGGGACAGGUUGUGUAUCAAACUGUGCCUGCAGGACCAUGAGUGUUGCUGAGCACAGUCUGCACCGGAGAGGUUCAGAACAAACGCUGAUGCAACUGUCAGUGGAGCAGAGCCAAGAGAAUGCUGAGACAUCCUAUGUUUCAGUGGACUUCCCAGGUUCGCCCACGAGCUCUCUCUGGCAUACACCUGCACCUCAAGGCAUACUCCUUAACACCUCUCCUGCUGCUGGCAGGAGGUUGACAGGAAACUAUAGCAAUGAGAAGCACUGUGUCACAUGGCAAGUACUCGAUGGCUUCCGAACAGUCUCUUUUGGGCCUGCUGAGUAGGUAUCUGUUUAAGGAAAAUACUUACAGCUUUGUUAAUCAGUUUUUUUUUUGUUGUUGUUGUUGUUGUUCCUUUGCUUUCACUAUCUA
ensembl:lncRNA